GCAGAUGUGGUGUAAUGGUAUCACAGUAGCUUGCUAAGCUAUCCAACAUAAAAUGUUGUGUAGGUCCGAGUCCUACCAUCUGCG
rnacentral:tRNA from 1 species